rnacentral:ribozyme from 1 species
UUCUUUAAGGUUAGCAAACCUUGACAAACCUGUGGGGCUACUACUCUAUUCUAAAAGAUAAUUCUAUUUUUAGUGCUAAAUACUUAGUCAGUAUAAUAGAGAGUUAGUGCAGACUAUAAAAUCAGGU